UACGGAGGGGGCAAGCGUUGUUCGGAAUUACUGGGCGUUAAAGGGCGCGCAGGCGGCUGCUCAAGUCAGGCGUGAAAGGCCCUGGGCUAACCCGGGAAUUGCGCUUGAGACUGGGCUGGCUUGAGUGCGGGAGAGGAUGGUGGAAUUCCCGAGUGUAGAGGUGAAAUUCGUAGAUAUUCGGAGGAACACCAGUGGCGAAGGCGGCUCACUGGCUCGGUACUGACGCUGAGGUGCGAAAGCGUGGGAGCAACAGG
rnacentral:rRNA from 1 species